rnacentral:rRNA from 1 species
UAGUCAUAUGCUCGUCUCAAAGAUUAAGCCAUGCAUGUCUAAGUACAAGCUCAUGAACAGUGAAACCGCGAAUGGCUCAUUAAAUCAGCUAUGGUUCCUUAGAUCUUAUUUCCUUAAUUGGACAACUGUGGUAAUUCUAGAGCUAAUACAUGCCUCGAAGCCUUGACCUCACGGGAUGGGCGCACUUAUUAGAUCAAAACCAACGGGCUUCUGCUCACAGUUUUGAUGACUCUGGAUAAUCUUUACUACAGAUCGCACGGCCUUGUGUCGGCGACAGAUCUUUCAAAUGUCUGCCCUAUCAACUUUAGAUGGUAGGUAAAUUGCCUACCAUGGUGAUAACGGGUAACGGGGAAUCAGGGUUCGAUUCCGGAGAGGGAGCCUGAGAAAUAGCUACCACAUCCAAGGAAGGCAGCAGGCGCGCAAAUUACCCACUCCCGGCAUGGGGAGGUAGUGACGAAAAAUAACGAUACGGGACUCUUUUCGAGGCCCCGUAAUCGGAAUGAGUACACUUUAAAUCCUUUAACGAGGAUCAAUUGGAGGGCAAGUCUGGUGCCAGCAGCCGCGGUAAUUCCAGCUCCAAUAGCGUAUAUUAAAGUUGUUGCAGUUAAAAAGCUCGUAGUUGGAUCUGGGGAUUAGGACGGAUGGUUCACUUUCGGGUGAAAUCGUCUGUCUGACCCUAAACUGUCGGUAGUUACCUUUGGUGCUCUUCACUGAGUGCUAUUGGUGCCCGACGUAUUACUUUGAAAAAAUUAGAGUGCUUAAAGCAGGCCUUGCGCUUGUAUAUUGUUGCAUGGAAUAAUGGAAUAGGACUUCGGUUCUAUUUUGUUGGUUUUCGGAAUUGAAGUAAUGAUUAACAGGGACGGCCGGGGGCAUUUGUAUGGCAGGGUUAGAGGUGAAAUUCUUGGAUCCUUGCCAGACAACCUACUGCGAAAGCAUUUGCCAAGAAUGUUUUCACUAAUCAAGAACGAAAGUCAGAGGUUCGAAGACGAUCAGAUACCGUCCUAGUUCUGACCAUAAAUGAUGCCAACUGACAAUCCGCGAGGUUGCUUGUCGACCGAGCGGGCAGGCCCCGGGAAACCAAAGUUUUCGGGAUCCGGGGGUAGUAUGGUUGCAAGACUGAAACUUAAAGGAAUUGACGGAAGGGCACCACCAGGAGUGGAGCCUGCGGCUUAAUUUGACUCAACACGGGAAAACUCACCCGGCCCGGACACUAUAAGGAUCGACAGAUUAAUAGCUCUUUCUAGAUAAAGUGGUUGGUGGUGCAUGGCCGUUCUUAGUUGGUGGAUUGAUUUGUCUGGUUUAUUCCGAUAACGAGCGAGACUCACGCCGUUAAAUAGGGGGCAAGUAAUCAAACGAUCCAGCCAACGUAUUCCUUCUUAAUGGGAUUUAUGUCGUAAAGACAUAUGAGUAUUGAGCAAUAACAGGUCUGUGAUGCCCUUAGAUGUCCGGGGCCGCACGCGCGCUACACUGAAGACGUCAAUGGGUAUUCCUUGCUGGAAACGGCUGGGGAACCCUUUUGAAUUGUUUUCGUGACAGGGAUCGUAGAACGUAAUUGUCUACGUGAACGAGGAAUUCCCAGUAAGUGCAAGUCAUUAGCUUGCGCUGAUUACGUCCCUGCCCUUUGUACACACCGCCCGUCGCUACUACCGAUUGAAUGGUUUAGUGAGGUCCUCGGAUUGGGGCCGGUGGAGUGGGCAACCGCUCUGCUGGUAACAAGAAGACGAUCAAACUUGAUCAUUUAGAGGAAGUAAAAGUCGUAACAAGGUUUCCGUAGGU